AAUCAACGCUGGCGGCGUGCCUCAGACAUGCAAGUCGAACGCGAAAGCCUCCUUCGGGGGGCAAGUAGAGUGGCGCACGGGUGAGUAACACGUAGGUAAUCUACCUUUGGAUUGGGAAUAACCACCGGAAACGGUGGCUAAUACCGAAUAAUGCAGCGGCACCUAAUGGUGACAGUUGUUAAAGCGGGGGAUCGCAAGACCUCGCGUCUGAAGAGGAGCCUGCGGCAGAUUAGCUAGUUGGUAGGGUAACGGCUUACCAAGGCGAUGAUCUGUAGCCGGCCUGAGAGGGCGGUCGGCCACACUGACACUGACAUACGGGUCAGACUCCUACGGGAGGCAGCAGUCGGGAAUUUUGGGCAAUGGGCGAAAGCCUGACCCAGCAACGCCGCGUGAAGGAUGAAAUCCCUCGGGAUGUAAACUUCGCAAGAACGGGAAGAAUAAGUAAGAGCUAACAUCUCUUACGAUGACGGUACUGUUUGUAAGCUCCGGCUAACUCCGUGCCAGCAGCCGCGGUAA
rnacentral:rRNA from 1 species